GUCUAACCCUGCUUUGCUUUAGCUGUGGAUUCUGUUCUUUUGUCCUCCGCACGCUGUUUUUCUCGCUGACUUCCAGUGUCCCAGGAAAGUCCAGACCUGCAACGGGCCACCGCGCGGUCCGGUCCCGUGCCUCAAGAAACGUCAGCGCGCGCAGGCGCUCCAGGUUUGCCCGGAGCCCGCGGCGCCCGGGCGCCCCGCCCGGUGCCCGCCUGGGGUCUUAGGACUCCGCUGCCACCGGGAAGAGCUUGGCUCUGUCAGCCGCGGGGCGCCGGGGCCUGGGGCCAGGCCGGGCGGGCGAGUGCCGCGAGGACAGGAACAGAACUGGUCCCCGCAUUCGGUGGCUCUCCUGAGCUGCGGGAAGUGCACCGGGACCCCGGCUCUCUCAACCCCGUGUCCCGCUGGGGAGAUGCCCGGCUCCACGGCGGACCGCAAGAACCUGCGACCCUGAGGAAUGGGGCUAAGCACGGUGCGUGUGCCCACGGUGCUCCCAAAAGAACGGGCGUCGAGUCAGGGUCGCCAGCCAAAGGGCGUUUUUUAGCCUUCACGCCCCGCCUCCAUUUUUGUAUUCUAUUCAUGUUUCUGCCCUGCGGGUUUUGUAGGAGUUGUUUGUAGUAGUAACCUGAACUAGCUAUGCAGCAAUAAGGUCCUUGGGGUUGGGGAGGUAGGGGUACAGGCGUGGACCUUCAUACUGGGCUUGUGUAGUGCGGAGACCUGAACCUAGAGUUUCAUAAGCUCUUUACCAACUGGUAUUCCCAUUCUAUGGGAGAUUUUUUUUUCUUUUGUGUAUGAGGUCGUUGAAUAUUUUGUAAACAAUUAGAAAAUCUAGUAAUUUUCUCAAUGAAAACAUUACUUUUCUAUGUCUUUGGGUGCAAAAUAUUAAAUGGAAUCUG
rnacentral:lncRNA from 1 species